rnacentral:snoRNA from 1 species
AGUGUAUGAUGACACCUCAGUAAUACUGCAGACUCCCAAGUGUUCACUGGAGAAGCCAACUUUGAAGAGUUGAAUGUGUA